rnacentral:lncRNA from 1 species
UGGAUAGGGUUUCGAGCGAGAUGGUGGGGGAAAACGAUGGGGAGGUGGUAUGUAUCGUAUACCGACAUCUUUCGGGUGUAAACGAGAAAAUCAGUGUAAAAAUUACAGCCCAAAAACAACAUAACAAUGCAAACCAACCCGUGGUUGAUCGUUAGAGGGACCGUGGUAUCCCCAGCCCACGAGGGUUCAAGUCUUGGUGCUUGCAUUAUUCCUGGAUUUAUUUCAGGAUUUCUG